rnacentral:rRNA from 1 species
AUUGAACGCUGGCGGCAUGCUUUACACAUGCGAGUCGAACGGCAGCGCGGGCUUCGGCCUGGCGGCGAGUGGCGAACGGGUGAGUAAUACAUCGGAACGUGCCCAGUAGUGGGGGAUAGCUCGGCGAAAGCCGGAUUAAUACCGCAUACGACCUGAGGGUGAAAGCGGGGGAUCUUCGGACCUCGCGCUAUUGGAGCGGCCGAUGGCAGAUUAGCUAGUUGGUGGGGUAAAGGCCUACCAAGGCGACGAUCUGUAGCUGGUCUGAGAGGACGACCAGCCACACUGGGACUGAGACACGGCCCAGACUCCUACGGGAGGCAGCAGUGGGGAAUUUUGGACAAUGGGCGAAAGCCUGAUCCAGCAAUGCCACGUGUGUGAUGAAGGCCUUCGGGUUGUAAAGCACUUUUGGCGGGAACGAAAAGGACUGUGCCAAUACCACGGUUCGAUGACGGUACCCGCAGAAUAAGCACCGGCUAACUACGUG